GCGGACGUGGCGGAAUAGGCAGACGCGCUAGGUUGAGGGCCUAGUGACCGCAAGGUCGUGGAGGUUCAAGUCCUCUCGUCCGCA
rnacentral:tRNA from 1 species